UAGGUAGCUGCUGCAAAGCAACAGCCAUCGCCCAACUCCUGCCUGCCCAGCUGCCCUGUAGCUUCUUUCACCUGCUGCAGCACCAGCCUCCAUCCCCUUCGUCUACCUCUUGCUCUUCCUCUCCCUCUUCCCUCCCCAUCCAAUCCAAUCCAAUCCAAUCCAUGGCGUUAUAAACCCCCUGCCCUCUCCUCCCCCUACCUAGCCUAGGCCUAGCUACCACCAAUCCAUCAUGGAUGCUGCAUAUAUCACAAAGCAUGCAUGUAUGGCCAUGAUCGAUCCAUCAGCAAUAUCGAUGGACAAUUCUCGGUCAGUGAUUAGCUGCCUGCCUAUCAGGCUUCUUCAGUUCUUCUUCAUCCAGGAAGCUCGUGGAGGACUCCAAAGGGAUCGCAUUGAUCUCACCUUCCGCCGCAGCCGCUCGCCGGCAUGCAAGCACGUGCAUGUGGCUAGGCCUAGCUGCGCGCGAGGACAGGAUCAGUGCAAUCCCUUUGGAAUUUUCCACUUGCGCCUCCGCACGUACUCCCUCGGUCUCCGCGCCGCCGCCGGAACCUCCUCGAUCGACGAGCCAGGGGUCAGCAAGGCCUUCGAUUAUACCAAGGACGACGACCGCCAAUUGAAUUGAAGCUGUAUGGUCUUCUCGUUGAUCUCCGGUAUGAUCCAGGGCAUACUGGUGCUUUAAUCUGGUGAUGAGGUAAGUAUUCAUUCUGGGUUAGUAGUAUGAUCAUACACAGAUAUGAUUAGACGACAAAGGGGAGAGAGUGAUUUCUCAUUUAAAUUUGAUUGCAACGUUUUGGUGCAUGUUUUGUCGCCCUGCUACUUGUUCUUCAUUUCUAAUUGAUUAUGAAAUUCGAAGCAAUUUUCCUCGCA